AACGAUUGCGGUUUACAGUAUUAGAGCCCUUAGGUUUCCCUUUUUGUUCAGUUUACAAAUAUUACUAUGCAAACAGUGACAGAGGCUACCACGGAGCCAUACGUUUCAGGACCGAACCGGUUUUAGGAAGCAGGC
rnacentral:lncRNA from 1 species